GUGUUGAUAUUAAGAUAUUGCUUGGAAUAGAAAGGUUUAGACCAUCGGAAUUAAGAGGCAUCAAAAUAGUUUUCGAAAGAUUAAUUUUAAAUCCCGAUAGUAUGCCAAAUUCGUCUAUAAUUUUGAGGGCAUUAGGAAGCGAGCACUGCAAGUCAGAUAGAAAUAAUAAUAUGUCAUCUACAUAUAGGGAAAUAGAGUGGCUUGAAGCACCUAACCGGAUUGGCGUAACCAGAUUGCACUGCCUAACAUACUGUGCCAGAGGUUCUAUUGAUAGAUUGAACAAAAAGGGGGAAAGUGGACAACCCUGCCUCGUACCUCUAUGAAUAUGAAAUCUGUCUGAUAUGAGUCCACCAGUAGAUACCCUGGCCAUGGGAUUAGUGUAUAGAGUUUGUAUCAUUCUAAUGAACCGGUCACCAAAAUUGAACUUCUUUAAAGUAUACCACAGAUAACCCCAUUCAAGCCGAUCAAAGGCUUUUUCGGCAUCAAUAAAUAGAAGGCCACUAGGCACUUUCAAUUUCCUUGAUUCCGCAAUGACGUGUAACACUCGGCGGAUGUUGUCAGAAGCCAGGCGUCCAGGGAUAAAACGUGAUUGAUCUGGACCAAUUAGCUUAUGUAUUACUACUUGUAGACGUCUAGCAAUAACUUUAGCAUAAAUUUUGACAUCUUCAUUUAUCAAGGAAAUGGGCCUAUAAUUAGAACAGUCUGAGUGAUCCUUUCCGGGUUUAGGUAGGACAGAGAUUAGAGCUGUAUUUAAGUCUUGGUGAAAAUGGCCUUUGAAUACGGCCUCAUUUAUAGUACGUAACCAAAUGUGGCCUAAUAAAUCCCACAGCACCAGGUAUAACUCAGCCGGAAGACCGUCAAUUCCGGGAGACUUUCCUUUACUUGAACAAAUUACUGCAUUAUGUAGUUCUUCUAGAGUUAUAUCAGAGUCAAGGUUGUCCACCUCCUCCUCUGAAAGUUUAUUUAAAUUCAAUUGGUCGAAAAAUCUUUUUAACUGGCCAGUACUGGGUUGUGUUUCUGAAACAUAUAAUUUUUCAAAGAAUGACAUGAAUAUUUUGCUAAUAUCUUUGGGAUGUGAAUUGAGAACAUUUUUUGAAUUUGUAAUCGCCCUUAUAUUAAAACGUUGCUCAUGUUUUUUCAGAGUAAGUGCAAGGAGCCGGCUUGGUCUGCUUCCAUCUAUAUACAGUAGUAUUUCUGUUUCGUAAUAUGCAUAAGAUAUUCUGCUCUUCUGCGAAGCAAAUCACUGAGUGCAGCCCUUUCCACAUUUAACUCAUGUAGUUUAAUAUUGGAAAAGUUGUAUCCUAAUUCCUUUUCCAAGUCCCCACAUCUUUUUUCUAAUACUGAUAUUUUUUCAAAAUAUUUCUUUUUAAGUCUAGCAGAAAAGGAGAUGGCUUUGUUCCUUAAAAAGCCUUUGAUAGAUGCCCAUAGCAUAUCAUUGUUGGAGACUGAAUUUUGAUUCAAUCUGAUAAACUCAGUCAGUUCUGGUCUCAGUUGAGAUAGGAAUUCCUCGUUCUGUAAAAGUAGAGUAUUAAAUCUCCAUCUUGACGAUUUACAGGAUGUCUUAAUCUGGAGUUGUGCUAAUACAGCAUUAUGGUCAGAAACACUUUGUGGUAGGAACUCAAUGUGUAUUAGAUCUGAAAGUAGUGGUGAUGAAAGUAAAAUAUAAUCAAUUCUUGAAAAUGAUUUGUGGCUUGGGGAAAAAUAGGUGUAUUCUUUAGCCGUUGGAUUUUGUAAACGCCAGGCAUCACAUAAGUCUAGGUCUUUACUAAACAAUCUCAGUGCUGCAGAAGAAUGAGACUGUGUUACUGAAAUUGAAGGAUUGGAGCGAUCCAAAGCCGUGUCAAACACAGCAUUCAUAUCUGAUCCAAUGACGAUUGAAUAGUUAUGAAGAGAUAAAAGAGUUUUCAAAACUUGUGGAAAAAAGGAGGCAUCAUAUGAGUUUGGGGCAUAUAUAUUAACAAAUGCAUACCUAUUUCCUUCAAUUAAGGCACAACAAUACGCAACUCGGCCAUCGUCAUCAGAGCCUUUAUGUUCAACAAUAAAAUUAGAAUUACGCUUAAAAAGAAUUGACACCCCUUGUUUUUUAGACUUACAACAUGAUGAUAUUAUGGGAAUAUAACGCCUGUUUUGCAUUCUUUGGGUGUCCAUUGCAGUAAGAUGGGUUUCUUGAAGAAACGCUACAUCGAUUUUCUUUCUGUGCAUAAGAUCUAAAACCCGAGUACGUUUAAUCAGAGAGUUAAACCCCCUAACAUUGAGAGACAAUAUAUUUAUAUUAACCAUAGUCUACAAUUGUUGGAGUCACACAGAAUAACGCAUAAGGUAAAAAACAGAUUGUUGAGCAUAUAACCAAGAUUUUCACAACCAUUUGCAGUAACAAAAUCAGUAUUGGUCCUGGGUGCUUUAUGCGCCUAAGCGCCCCCUCCCUCUCCCCUAUAACCCUUUUAGCAAACAUCUGUGGCGAUUGCGAGGCAAUGUCUAGAACACUAUUCACCUUAUUAACCUCUAUGAUUUAAACAAACAGAUAAAUGUAGAAUUAUAAGACGAUUAUUACAGAACUCAGAAUAAUCAUAUAACAUGUGAUAUCCAUAACUGAACUCUUUAUGACCACCGGAAUUAAAUUAUGGGCUGAGGCCCAACUUUCAAGAUUAGCGAGCUUACAGUACUUCAACUAAACUCUCUUCAAAGCAACAUCUAACAGUCCGCACAUGAGGUAUAAAAAUAACAAUAGAAUAAACAAUUAAAUAAAGUACCAUAGGAAGAAAAGCUUAAGUGUUCCAUUUCCACCUGUUACUAAUUCAAUGUCUAUCAAAUUAUCAGAGUUUGAUAUUACACCUAUGGAUGAAAGCUAUGCUAAAGAUAAUGAGCCCAGGUUUAAUGAUAUGCCUGUGAUUACAUCACUUGUCGAACAAAUACAGAUACAGUUUCUAGUUGACUCAGGAGCAGGGUACUUUGUGAUACGAUUGUGUGAAUUUUCUAUUUCACUUAUAAUGAGCAAUCACUCCCUGUUUACUACGUGAGCAUCAGGAAUGUCAGUCAUUGAGACAUUCUCAGUGCCCUUAAGGUGCAAAACUGUAACUACACAGAAACAAUUUGGAUUUUCUUUUUUGAUUUCUGAGUAUUGCCCAAUAAAUCUGUUGGGUCGAGAUUUGAUGUGCAAAUUAAAUUUAAAUCUAAUCAACACAUCACUAGUCCUUAAGAUAGAAUAGGGAGAUGACUCCUGCUUUGUAAAAUAUUAUCCCAGAUCUCUGCUCUAUGAUACAAAUGGAAACUGUGUGAUUUCUCUUUUACUGACGUCACACACACACUUGUGGGAAGAGCAAAAAUUCUCACCUCUUCUUCUCACACAGACUACAUAAAACCAGAAACUUUACAUUGCACUGCACACAUACACAGAUGCGAACCAGAUGAGAGCUAUGAGAAAGAGUGGUAUAGGAAGUUGGAUAAGUCAGAUGUACUGAUCUUGAAACGUUUGAUAUGGAGUGAGCAAAGAUGUGAUGUAGAGGAAGACUUAUCUCGGGUUUCAACUCGAGCUGGUUAUCCACACCUAUUCCAAAUGAACCAUGCAUCUCCACAUCUCUCUUUAGCCAAAUCUGCCAAUGAUGAGUGGGAAAUCUUGGUAAAAUGGAUGUUACAGGUUAGUCUGACUCAUGACUGCGAGCAAACCAGGCAGCCAGCUGUCUUUUACAGCUCAAAAUUAAAUGCAUAAAGCACACCACUAAAUUGCAUGGUUAGGGCAAAAAGAGAUGUGGAGAUCCGUCCUGAUGAAUUUUACAACCCAUGGUGUAAAAUUGAAGCAUCAUUUUGGCACAGGGCCAGAACUACUGACUGGACCCUGCCUAAAUUAGAAUCUUCAGACAUUCAAUUACAAAAGGUGCCCAAAGAGUUGUGGGCGGAUGGAAAAUAUGAUGUAGUCCUGAUUAAAAAUUGUCCUUCAUUUACCAUUAUUCUAAAAACCGGUUAAAAAUUAUAAAUAAAUGAAUAAAUAAAUAAAUAAAUAAAUAAAUAAAUAAAUAAAUAAAUAAAGGCUCAAUAUCCCCUAAAACCAGAAGCUAUAGCAGGUAUAACACCGGUGUUCAACUCCCUGUUAAAAGCUGGAGUUAUUGUACCAUGUGAGACAUCUCCUGUGCUAAUCCCACUGUUCCCAGUAAAGAAAAUAAGCCUGUCAAAUCUGAAAUUUGUUCAACAAGAAGUGAAGUUCCUAGGACAUUUAAUUUUUGCAGAAGGUAAACGACUCGAGUCAAGCAGAAUAGAGGCAAUUCAGAAAAUUCCAAAACCGUUUACAAGAAAAACAGUUAAUGUCUUUUUUAGGCAUGUGUUCAUACUGUAGGUUAUUUAUACCCAAUUAUGCUGUUUUAGAGGCACCGCUGAGCGCAAUUGCUCAUGGACAAGGCCUACAAGCACACAGCAAAGUGACGUGGACUGAGACUGCAAAAGCUGCAUUUGAACGACUGAAACAGAAAUUACAGAUGACACCCACACUAGGCAUCCCUGACCCAAUGAGACCAUUUACACAAACUGUUGACGAAAAAGGGGAUCCAUGACAUCAGUUUUACUCCAAGAUCAUGGGGGCAAACUCAGACCAGUAGCAUAUUUUUCAGCUAAACUGGAUCCAGUGGCAGCAAGUCUGCCCAUGUGUCUCAGAGCAGUAGCUGCAGCAGAAAAGGCAAAGAAGGAAAUGAUCAUUUUUGAAGGGCCUGUAAACAUCCUAAUGUUCAAUUUAUGAUCAUUAAUUAUGGACCUGGUUCUGUAUCACAAUAUCACAUGUGGGUAAUGGACUGUGGAUUUCCAGAAAAAGCUAGUUUUAGUGAAAGGCAGUUAGAAAAGUUGAGAGAAAAGUCACAUGAGCAUGAGGCUUCAAAGAAAAAAGGGAAAAAGAGACAAGAAGUAGAUUGGGUUGCAUAUAAUAUGUGGGCAACUCUGGCAAAAACCCAGAGCAUGCAAAUCAAACACACAAACUUAUUCACAGUCUUCUUCUCUUCAGUGUUUUUAAAACUCUUGUAGACCCAGACCUGGAGGGCUGCCCGCUCAGACCACCACCUCAGGCACCCCCGCAGACGAACAAUAACCAACCACCAGCUGUUACACUGCUGCGGCUUCUACACCCAACCAACGGACAGUUUACUCUCCAGCAGGAUACUACAGCAGACGUGCACAAAGGACUGCAGUUCUUAGAGGUGCGAGACCAGAUGAUCCUCUUUCCAGCACACUCAGGGAACAUGAUCUUUUUACUUUCCAGUAAAAAUGGACAUGACAAAAAUCUCCUUAUGUAGACAAGAGGACAAUGAAACAGUCUCCAGAUAUCUUGCACAAUUGACAGAAGAAGUACAUGAUGCACACAGCGGCCUUGAACGCCCUGAUAACAUGGCUGAAGCUGCUGACCUCACUCCGUAUGAGGUACAUUUGAGAAACAGUUUCAUAAAUGGAUUAAGAGAGGACAUUGCAAGAAACGUCAAGCAAACUUGCAUUAUCCGGGACACUGAAAAUCUGUCUUUGAACAGCAUUUCAUCCAUGCAGAAAAGCUGCUAAAGGCCGAGAGACAAAAAGAAAAGACAAAAGGUUAGAAAUGAAACACCGUCCCAACAUGGUUCAGUUGCCUGAGGUCCGAGGAGAUUCCAUCAGAGGAAGGGGCUGUAGCCAUGGGAAAGUUACAAGAAGAGGACGGAACAGACCUGGAUUUCAGAAUGGAUGUUUUGUAUGCAGAAGUUCAGAUCACUGGGCACAAGAUUGCCCUAAGAAAUAUCGAGGGGAAACCAAGUAUCAAGAGGCAUGAGGUUCGGACGAGUUUGAGAACCCAGGGAUGGACAGGUGAAGGAUGCCCUUCCUAAACCACAUACAGAUGCAUUGUAUGCCCUGAAGCUUGGCGAGUGGAUCAUGGUGAAAGAUUUCAGGAGAAAGAACUGGAAGGCCAUGCAUUGGCUGGGACCAUUCCAGAUUUUGUUGACUACUCCCACCGCUGUGAAAAUAGUGGACAGAGUAACAUGGAUCCACGCCAUUCACUGCAAACGGGUAUCAGGCCAGGAAUAAAAGAACAGAUCAGUUAACCCACCGUUAACAAUGAAAAAUUAACUCCUGAGACCAUCUGCAUUUUUGUCCAAUUAAGUGAGGGGCUGGGUUACCUGCACUCACGAAACAGCCUAGACUGGUAGUGUUCCUAGGCCUCGGUGAGGUGGGACGAUUGCGAAUGGGCAGUGCCUGCACUCUGAGCACCGAUAUACGUCAAGGAUAUACGUUCACUUAAAGUUUAGUGCUGUUUAUAUGAAUCACCACGUGACAUCCUAAAUAUCCUGUUAUUGAGACACAGAGAAGAAAAUCACUCCAGUGGACGUUGUUUGGACAUUUUAAGCGGUGUAGCAUGUGUAAACCCAGGGCUGUCAAGUGUCACGCAUUGAGAGUGACAGUCACGCAUUUUGGUCUUUUGUCACGCUCUCCCGCCCCACAUCGUAUUUCUCACGCAGAAAAACUAUUUGACUAUUUAUCAGAGGUGGGAGUAAGUCACACAUGUGCAAGUCUCAAGUAAGUCUCAAGUCUUAACCUUCAAGUCUCAAGCAAGUCCGAGUCAUUUUUUGUGAGUGUCAAGCCAAGUCAAGUCAAGUCACUGCUUUAUGUCAAGCAAGUCAAGUCGUAGCUUGAGUCAAGCAAGUCACUGGCAAGUCAUACAGAUGUUUGAUGAUUUAACUAAAUGUAUAUAUUAAACAAAGUUAAAUCUACAGUA